UACGUAGGGGCCUAGCGUUGUCCGGAAUUAUUGGGCGUAAAGAGCUCGUAGGCGGUUCGGCAAGUCGGAUGUGAAAUCUCCACGCUCAACGUGGAGGGGCCAUUCGAAACUGCCGUGACUCGAGUCCGGUAGGGGAGUGUGGAAUUCCCGGUGUAGCGGUGAAAUGCGCAGAUAUCGGGAGGAACACCAGUAGCGAAGGCGGCACUCUGGGCCGGUACUGACGCUGAGAAGCGAAAGCAUGGGGAGCGAACAGG
rnacentral:rRNA from 1 species